UUGCUUCCCAGUGAGAGCAGCCUAAGUAACAGUUCAGGCUGUUGUGUGUCACAAUGUCCUGCUGCUGUUUCUACUGCUGCCGCUGGCUUUGCAGACCAGGAGUCCUAAUGCAUGGAGCCAAGUAACAGGAGAGAGGACAGCACCUGUGUCCUGGCUGGAAUAGGUCCAUGGAGGUCUUGGCUUUUUGCUCACAGAAAGAGCAGGGGACAAGAUCCUGGGUUUACUGUCUCAUGGAUACCGUCUGAAACAGUAGGUAACCAAAGUUUGGUUUCCUGCAGAAGCAAACUCCAAUUUAAGGACUAUCCAGGAAGCACAAAUGAGUGACUGGGAAAAGUGAGACAGAGGAGGGAAAAAAACCCAUAAAAGGCCGUGGUAUACAGAAUGGACUGCAUAAGGAAAAGAAGAGGCUAGGCUGCCUGACGUGGUGAUGCAGGUGUGAACUGAUGACAAUGGGAAAGGAGAUAAAAGAGAGAUCAAAGGGAAGUUUAGAAAGCAGAAUCAGAUAGCUAGUGUGUAUGUGUGUGUGGCGUGAGGGUAGGGAGGUGGGUGGGUGGUACCUUUCCAAAGAGAUAUGGGAGCCAGGAAGCAAGUUAUCUUUAGAAGAAAAGGUGAUGUGUUAAGUCCUGGGAGUACAUGAGUCUGGCUUUCUUACUAAGCUUCAGGAAAGUCACUCAACCACCAGGAACUUUAUUUUCCAGAUUUUCUAUAAAGUAGAAAUAAGAUUAGAAAAGAACCUGAGACUCUAGGAAGAUGGCGGUGUAGGAGGACGCUGGGCUCACCGCGUCCUUCUGAUCACUUAGAUUCCACCCACUCCUGCCUAAAUAACCCAGAAAACCACCAGAAGACUAGCAGAACGGAGUCUCCAGAGCCAAGCAUAGACGAGAAGCCCACGGAAGAGGGUAGGAAGGGUGGAGAGGCGGUGCACAUUACACGGACUGGCGGAAGGGAGCCGGGGUGGAGGGGCAGCCCACCAGCCAAGCAGAGCCCCGAGUCUGGCUUGCAAAAGCGGAGGGGCAAGAAGGAGUGUGUUAGGACAGCAAACGGGACUUAACAUCUGGAAGGUUAUAAGCUAACAGCUCUGCUUGGAGAGCAGGAGGGCUGGAGGACAAUGGGAGGGAGAGUUAUUGAGCCCCGGAUGACAGAGCUCAGCUUGGUGGGGAAUAAAGGUGCUCGCCAGCGCCAUCUCCCUCGUCCAUUCCCCAGCCAAAAUCCCAAAAGGAACCAGUUCCUGCCAGGGAACUUGCUUGCACCGCGCAAACACCCAACACUGUGCUUCUGCGGAUCCAUCACUCCGGCAGCAGGUCUGACUCCCUCCCAGUGCCACAGAUCCCCUCCCAAAGCAGAUCGCCAAAGGAAAAGCAAGCUGAGCCUGCUCCUCCCACCCCCCUGCACCUUGCCGAUCCACCCCAGCUAAUACGCCAGAUCCCCAGCACCACAAGCCUGGCAGUGUGCAAGUAGCCCAGAUGGGCCAUUCCACCCCAGUGAAUCCCUCCCCUAGGAGAGGGGAAGAGAAGGUACACACCAGUCUGACUGUGGCCCCUGUGGUGGGCUGCGGGCAGACAUCAGGUCUGACUGUGCCCCGCCCACCAACGCAAGUUAUUCAAGACAGCACAGGGGAAGUGCCCCGCAGUUCCACACCACUCCAGGGACUAUCCAAAAUGAUGAAACGGAAGAAUUCCCCUCAAAAGAAUCUUCAGGAAAUAGCAACACCUAACAAACUGGUCAAAAAUGAUUUAAAUAUAACAGAGAGUGAAUUUAGAAUAAUAGUCAUAAAAUUAAUUGUUGGGCUUGAAAACAGUACAGAGGACAGCAGAGAAUCUAUUGCUACAGAGAUCAAGGGACUAAGGAACAGCCAGGAGGAGUUAAAAAAUUCCAUUAAUGAACUGCAAAAUAAAAUGGAGAUGACCACAGCUCGGAUUGAAGAGGCAGAGGAGAGAAUAGGUGAACUAGAAGGUAAAAUUAAGGAAAAAGAAGAAGCUGAAAAAAAGAGAGAUAAAAAAAUCCAGGAGUGUGAGGGGAAAAUUAGAGAACUAAGUGAUGCACUAAAGAGAAAUAAUCUACGCAUAAUUGGUAUUCCAGAGGAGGAAGAGAGAGGGAAAGAUGCUGAAGGUGUACUUGAAGAAAUAAUAGCUGAGAACUUCCCUGAUCUGGGGAAGGAAAAAGGCAUUGAAAUCCAAGAGGCACAGAGAACUCCCUUCAGACGUAACUUGAAUUGAUCUUUUGCACGACAUAUCAUAGUGAAACUGGCAAAAUACAAGGAUAAAGAGAAUAUUCUGAAAACAGCUAGGGAUAAACGUGCUCUAACAUAUAA